rnacentral:rRNA from 1 species
UACGUAGGGGGCAAGCGUUGUCCGGAAUCAUUGGGCGUAAAGAGCGUGUAGGCGGCCAGAAAAGUCCGCUGUGAAACUCGAGGCUCAACUUCGAGCUGUCGGUGGAAACUUUCUGGCUAGAGUCCGGAAGAGGAGAAUGGAAUUCCUGGUGUAGCGGUAGAAAUGCGCAGAGUAAUCAGGAAGAACACCCGUGGCGGAAGGCGGCGUCUCUGGGACGGUACUGACGCGAAGACGCGGAAAGCGUGGGGAGCGAACAGG